UGUAGGGAAAAUUUACAACUUUAAAGGCUAUUUGUUACUUAAUUUCCGGUAAGAAAAAAAAAAAACGCACGAAGACAUCAGAUAUUGUAAAAUCCCAGUCAGGCUGACUCUAGUUACAUCCACGCAUAUUACAAUGUGAAGUGGCAUUACAACCAAAUUAGUUCAGCUUGAUUUAGCUCUUUUAUCCUCUCAUUCUAAUUUUACAUCUAACAACACUCUUUUCAGAUGGUGUAAAGUAGAAGAACAAUUAGUAGGCACCGCAACAGGCUCGCUCCCACUAACAUUCAAACCAAAGCCUUUCGCUCUUAUCAGAUUCAACAAAUAACACAGUUCCUCCAGUUUCAGUAUGCAAAGAACCAAUAAAUGUAAAUAUUGGGUUGAAGAAUUUAUUGCAUAUCGCCAUUCCAAUUCAAAAAUUAAAAUUAAUGUGGUCAUGCACUCUAAGUGAUGGUAGUGUCGUCUCGGAUGAUGACUCUGUUGCUGAAACUCAUUGUCAAGAGUCUAUUAUUUUAGAGUCGGAUUGCACUACACAAGUGGUACUGCAGGUAAAACCAUUAAAACCUGGGUCUCUUCUAAUAACGGGUAUAAGUUACUGUCUUGCGUCCACCGUCCCCAGUUCACCAACAGAAUCUAUUACUGUCAGAGGAAGACAUUGCUCAAGCCGAAUGGACUGCCAGUAAAACAGACGAAAGAUAAAAUGCAAGGCCAGCCAAUUUUUGCGCCUGAUUAUCGACUUCAGUUAAAUAUUCUCGAAAACGCUCCGUGCAUACAUGUCUUUAUGCUUAGCAUAUCUUGUGAGCUUCUGUGUGGCGAAUUGAGGCAUGUAUCGGUUUUGAUGAAAAACACUGGGAAUCUUCCAGUGUCAAGGAUUCUCUUUUCGUCACCCACUCCUCAGUUUAUUUCAUUACAUUCCAUUCUUCCAAACUCACACUCCAAUCCCCCACCAGUAAAGCAGAAAUUUGAGCCGUGCUUUUCCAUUCCAAUGGAGCGACCUCUCGAACCCAAUGGUGAGCUGAGCUUUGAUAUGUGGAUACGUGCUCCGGAAACUAAAGGAGCCUUUUCAUUAGAUGUCUUGUUUUACUGUGAAUACUACCCUUUGGAGAGCAAUCAAAAACCUAGGUACAGGCUUGUGAGACAUUCCUGGAAUUUGACUGUGUUCGAGUCAUUAAAUUUUUCUGUGAUCCCUACCAGAAGUUGUCAAUCUAGUAAAUCAAAUGAGCUCAUUAACUUUCAACUUCAAGUAAAAAUAAUAAUCAGCCUAAUGAUAUCUUGUCAGCUGAAAUUGAUUUAG
rnacentral:lncRNA from 1 species